GUGCGUGUGGGUGAGCGGUCCAAGCCAGCAGUCUGCAAAACUGCGCCUCAACGGCACGUCGGUUCGAAUCCGACCACGCACUCCA
rnacentral:tRNA from 1 species